UACGUAUGGUGCAAGCGUUAUCCGGAUUUACUGGGUGUAAAGGGAGCGCAGGCGGCACGGCAAGCCUGAUGUGAAAGCCCGCGGCCCAACCGCGGGACUGCAUUGGGAACUACCGGGCUGGAGUGCCGGAGAGGUAGGCGGAAUUCCUAGUGUAGCGGUGAAAUGCGUAGAUAUUAGGAGGAACACCGGUGGCGAAGGCGGCCUACUGGACGGUGACUGACGCUGAGGCUCGAAAGCGUGGGGAGCAAACAGG
rnacentral:rRNA from 1 species